UUCUUAUUAAGAACUACUGAGAGAAAAAACUCGUUGAAGUAGUAGCAACCUUUUAAGUUAGGUGCUUAAAUUUGGGGAAACCAGCAAUAGGAA
rnacentral:ncRNA from 1 species